AAAAGAAAGAAGGAAGGAAGGAAGGA
rnacentral:piRNA from 1 species